rnacentral:lncRNA from 1 species
CCCCCGCCGCCGCGCCCGCGGCGUGGAUAGCUCGACCCCGACGCCCUCGGACUUGAGGUCCCCAUCCACGGCGCGCUUCCACGAGCCAGAGAAAAGGGCCGGUCGGCAGCAAGGUUGCAAGACUCCUCCUUUCAUGUCCUCGAUCGUUUCUGGAGAUGAUCUCAUUCCUUGCUGCAAUUUUCAGUGACAGAUGUCCUCGAUCGUUUCUGGAGAUGAUCUCAUUCCUUGCUGCAAUUUUCAGUGACAGAACAUUUCAGGAGCGCGGUCGGUUACAAGCACUUCCUAGCAUGUUUUUCUUGAGUUAGGGCACCAUCUUGAAAUAUUUAUGUUUGGCAUUGUAGUCGAAGAUUAUGCUGCGCUG